UUAGUCAAGAAAAGCACGCGAGGCUGCCGCAUUUCCGCCCCAGUGCUGCAAACUGCUUUCCAGAGGCAGGCCUAACAUUCUAAAGUGAAAGCAAGCUCCGCCCCUGGAGGAAAAAGAAAACGUGCUUUGAAGCCGUGGAGGUCCCCCGGCUUCCCACCGUCACCCCUCCGGAGGCAGCCGUGCCCAGGCAGCCGGCGCCCGCUCAGGGAGGCCGAGCUGUCCCUGCAGAGCGGUAAUUUACCGCGGGAGCUACGCGUGAGCGCUGAUCUGACAUGACUCGUAAUGGCUCCAGCUCUUAGCUCUGGGGCUCCCUCGUUACAUGCAUGGCCGGCGGCUGCAUCAUUGCGCCAGCUACUCAAACUGAAGCUGAGAGAGGCUGGGAGACACACAGGGCGCCGUCUGUAACCACACCAGCUUGAAAAUCAAAUGUAUGCUUCUCACGCACACUGUAAACCAACAUGAGUCAUAAAGGACUUUGUUUUGGGGUCACUCGAGACCCAUCGUCUAUGACAUCACCUGCCCACACACAGCCCUCAGGGUGGGUAAGGGCACGAAGAAUCAUCAUCAGCGCGUACAUGCUUCUGCUGAGAAAUGAGACGCCUCUCUUCUCACUAACAUUUUAUCAGUUGAAGCUUUUUAUCCAUGAAUAAAUUUAAAGGGAUGGGAAAGUGUAAACUUCCCACAUGCUCAGGAGAUGAGAACAAGAAAUACUGGUCAGCACAGUAACUUCACCUACUUUUGAAUCACCAUAUAUUAGAUGCUUGUUUUUUUUGGAUGUAUCUUGGUCAUAUAUUUUGGUAACAGAUCUUGAGUUUUGUCUUCUAUUUCACUGGACAAACCAAUUAUAAUUACACAAGUAAAUAUAUCUAUUAAAAAAUGUGUAUCUAUGAA